rnacentral:tRNA from 1 species
UGGCAUAUAACACAAUGGUUAGUGUAUAUUAUUACGGAUGAUAAAAUGUAAGUUCGAUUCUUACUAUGCCAU